rnacentral:rRNA from 1 species
CAGUCGAACGAGAGACCUUCGGGUCUCUAGUGGCGAACGGGUGAGUAACACGUAGGGAACCUGCCCGCGCACCGGGAAUACGCUCUGGAAACGGAGAACAAAUCCCGAUGUACAGGAAGGAGGCAUCUUCUUUCUGUGAAACAUCCUUUCGGGGAUGGGGCGCGGAUGGACCUGCGGUGCAUUAGUUGGUUGGCGGGGUAAAGGCCCACCAAGACGAUGAUGCAUAGCCGGCCUGAGAGGGCGGACGGCCACAUUGGGACUGAGACACGGCCCAGACUCCUGCGGGAGGCAGCAGUAGGGAAUUUUCGUCAAUGGGCGCAAGCCUGAACGAGCGAUGCCGCGUGAGUGAAGAAGGCCUUCGGGUCGUAAAGCUCUGUUGCGGGGGAAAAAAGGCAGCAUCAGGAAAUGGGUGCUGACUGAUGGUGCCCCGCCAGAAAGUCACGGCUAACUACGUGCCAGCAGCCGCGGUAAUACGUAGGUGGCGAGCGUUAUCCGGAAUGAUUGGGCGUAAAGGGUGCGCAGGCGGUCCUGCAAGUCUGGAGUGAAACGCAUGAGCUCAACUCAUGCAUGGCCUUGGAAACUGGAGGACUGGAGAGCAGGAGAGGGCGGUGGAACUCCAUGUGUAGCGGUAAAAUGCGUAGAUAUAUGGAAGAACACCAGUGGCGAAGGCGGCCGCCUGGCCUGUUGCUGACGCUGAGGCACGAAAGCGUGGGGAG